rnacentral:lncRNA from 1 species
GUGCACGUAGGGUGACUUCAAUUUUUCAUCACUCUGUCUACAUCCACAAAUGACUGCAAAAGCACUAGGAGUAUUAAUUCCAUGGACCUCUGAUUUUCUUUUGGACAAACUGAAGCUGUCAAGGAAGGAAGGAAAAUAUAGAUAUAACUAUGAUCAUUCACAGUUAAAAGUUUAAAGCCAAGAGACCAUAAUUUUAUAAAUGAAGACAUGAACCAGCAGGUCUAUUUGGCUAUGGCUGAACGGAGAAGCCAUCAUGAUCACUAGAAGGUAGAAGAGCUUAGAGACAGCGUUUAUGGGCCACCUCCCCUUACCUCCAAAUAGUAAAAACAAGAAUUGAUGGAAUUUCU